GAGAACUUGCCCUUCGGGGUAGAUCUCCCACCCUUUGUUUAUCAUACUUUGUUGCUUUGGCGGGCCUGCCUCACGGCUGCUGGCGCAAGCUGGCUCGUGCCCGCCAGAGACCCCCAAACUCUGAAUAUUGUCGUCUGAAAAAACUUAAUAAUUACAACUUUCAACAACGGAUCUCUUGGUUCU
rnacentral:misc_RNA from 1 species